rnacentral:rRNA from 1 species
AUUGAACGCUGGCGGCAGGCUUAACACAUGCAAGUCGAACGAGUGGCGGACGGGUGUGUAAUGUCUGGGAAACUGCCUGAUGGAGGGGGAUAACUACUGGAAACGGUAGCUAAUACCGCAUACCAUCAGAUGUGCCCAGAUGCGAUUAGCUAGUUGGUGGGGUAACGGCUCACCGAGGCGACGAUCCCUAGCUGGUCUGAGAGGAUGACCAGCCACCGUGGAACGGAGACACGGUACAGACUCCUACGGGAGGCAGCAGUGGGGAAUAUUGCACAAUGGGCGCAGGCCUGAUGCAGACAUGCCGCGUGUAUGAAGAAGGCGUUCGGGUUGUGGAGUACUUUCAGCGGGGAGGCGGUACCAGCAGAAGAAGCACCGGCUAACUCCGUGCCAGCAGCCGCGGUAAUAC